rnacentral:rRNA from 1 species
GGGUUGUGAGGUUAAGCGACUAAGCGUACACGGUGGAUGCCCUGGCAGUCAGAGGCGAUGAAGGACGUGCUAAUCUGCGAAAAGCGACGGCGAGGUGAUAUGAACCUUUGACCCGUCGAUGUCCGAAUGGGGAAACCCAGUGCAAUUCGUUGCACUAUCGUUAACUGAAUACAUAGGUUAACGAGGCGAACCGGGGGAACUGAAACAUCUAAGUACCCCGAGGAAAAGAAAUCAACCGAGAUUCCCCCAGUAGCGGCGAGCGAACGGGGAGCAGCCCGGAGUCUGAAUCAGCUUGUGUGUUAGUGGAAGCGUCUGGAAAGUCGCACGGUACAGGGUGACAGUCCCGUACACGAAAAUGCACAGGUUGUGAACUCGAAGAGUAGGGCGGGACACGUGGUAUCCUGUCUGAAUAUGGGGGGACCAUCCUCCAAGGCUAAAUACUCCUGACUGACCGAUAGUGAACCAGUACCGUGAGGGAAAGGCGAAAAGAACCCCGGCGAGGGGAGUGAAAAAGAACCUGAAACCGUGUACGUACAAGCAGUGGGAGCACCUUCGUGGUGUGACUGCGUACCUUUUGUAUAAUGGGUCAGCGACUUAUAUUCUGUAGCAAGGUUAACCGUAUAGGGGAGCCGCAGGGAAACCGAGUCUUAACUGGGCGUUAAGUUGCAGGGUAUAGACCCGAAACCCGGUGAUCUAGCCAUGGGCAGGUUGAAGGUUGGGUAACACUAACUGGAGGACCGAACCGACUAAUGUUGAAAAAUUAGCGGAUGACCUGUGGCUGGGGGUGAAAGGCCAAUCAAACCGGGAGAUAGCUGGUUCUCCCCGAAAGCUAUUUAGGUAGCGCCUCGUGAACUCAUCUUCGGGGGUAGAGCACUGUUUCGGCUAGGGGGCCAUCCCGGCUUACCAACCCGAUGCAAACUACGAAUACCGAAGAAUGUUAUCACGGGAGACACACGGCGGGUGCUAACGUCCGUCGUGAAGAGGGAAACAACCCAGACCGCCAGCUAAGGUCCCAAAGUCAUGGUUAAGUGGGAAACGAUGUGGGAAGGCACAGACAGCCAGGAUGUUGGCUUAGAAGCAGCCAUCAUUUAAAGAAAGCGUAAUAGCUCACUGGUCGAGUCGGCCUGCGCGGAAGAUGUAACGGGGCUAAACCAUGCACCGAAGCUGCGGCAGCGACACUAUGUGUUGUUGGGUAGGGGAGCGUUCUGUAAGCCGUCGAAGGUGUGCUGUGAGGCAUGCUGGAGGUAUCAGAAGUGCGAAUGCUGACAUAAGUAACGAUAAAGCGGGUGAAAAGCCCGCUCGCCGGAAGACCAAGGGUUCCUGUCCAACGUUAAUCGGGGCAGGGUGAGUCGACCCCUAAGGCGAGGCCGAAAGGCGUAGUCGAUGGGAAACAGGUUAAUAUUCCUGUACUUGGUGUUACUGCGAAGGGGGGACGGAGAAGGCUAUGUCAGCCGGGCGACGGUUGUCCCGGUUUAAGCGUGUAGGUGUGUGUUCCAGGCAAAUCCGGUUCACUUUAACACUGAGGCGUGAUGACGAGGCACUACGGUGCUGAAGUGAUAAAUGCCCUGCUUCCAGGAAAAGCCUCUAAGCAUCAGGUAACACGAAAUCGUACCCCAAACCGACACAGGUGGUCAGGUAGAGAAUACCAAGGCGCUUGAGAGAACUCGGGUGAAGGAACUAGGCAAAAUGGUGCCGUAACUUCGGGAGAAGGCACGCUGAUAUGUAGGUGAAGUCCCUGCGGACGGAGCUGAAAUCAGUCGAAGAUACCAGCUGGCUGCAACUGUUUAUUAAAAACACAGCACUGUGCAAACACGAAAGUGGACGUAUACGGUGUGACGCCUGCCCGGUGCCGGAAGGUUAAUUGAUGGGGUUAGCGGCAACGCGAAGCUCUUGAUCGAAGCCCCGGUAAACGGCGGCCGUAACUAUAACGGUCCUAAGGUAGCGAAAUUCCUUGUCGGGUAAGUUCCGACCUGCACGAAUGGCGUAAUGAUGGCCAGGCUGUCUCCACCCGAGACUCAGUGAAAUUGAACUCGCUGUGAAGAUGCAGUGUACCCGCGGCAAGACGGAAAGACCCCGUGAACCUUUACUAUAGCUUGACACUGAACACUGGUCCUUGAUGUGUAGGAUAGGUGGGAGGCUUUGAAGCGUGGACGCCAGUCUGCGUGGAGCCGUCCUUGAAAUACCACCCUUUAAUGGCUGGUGUUCUAACGUAGACCCGUAAUCCGGGUUGCGGACAGUGUCUGGUGGGUAGUUUGACUGGGGCGGUCUCCUCCCAAAGAGUAACGGAGGAGCACGAAGGUUAGCUAAUCCUGGUCGGACAUCAGGAGGUUAGUGCAAUGGCAUAAGCUAGCUUGACUGCGAGAGUGACGGCUCGAGCAGGUGCGAAAGCAGGUCAUAGUGAUCCGGUGGUUCUGAAUGGAAGGGCCAUCGCUCAACGGAUAAAAGGUACUCCGGGGAUAACAGGCUGAUACCGCCCAAGAGUUCAUAUCGACGGCGGUGUUUGGCACCUCGAUGUCGGCUCAUCACAUCCUGGGGCUGAAGUAGGUCCCAAGGGUAUGGCUGUUCGCCAUUUAAAGUGGUACGCGAGCUGGGUUUAGAACGUCGUGAGACAGUUCGGUCCCUAUCUGCCGUGGGCGCUGGAGAAUUGAGGGGGGCUGCUCCUAGUACGAGAGGACCGGAGUGGACGCAUCACUGGUGUUCGGGUUGUCAUGCCAAUGGCACUGCCCGGUAGCUAAAUGCGGAAGAGAUAAGUGCUGAAAGCAUCUAAGCACGAAACUUGCCCCGAGAUGAGUUCUCCCUGAGACUUUAAGUCUCCUGAAGGAACGUUGAAGACGACGACGUUGAUAGGCCGGGUGUGUAAGCGCAGCGAUGCGUUGAGCUAACCGGUACUAAUGAACCGUGAGGCUUAACCUUACAACGCCGAAG